rnacentral:rRNA from 1 species
GAUUCCCCUAGUAACGGCGAGUGAAGAGGGAAAAGCCCAGCACCGAAGCCUGCGGUCACUUGACUGCUAGGCAAUGUGGUGUUUAGGUUGAUUCUUGGCAAUAUUGAUCUAUCCCAAGUCCAGCACUGAGUACGGCUUGUUGGAAUGGCCCAAAGAGGGUGAAAGGCCCGUGGGGGUGGAUCGCAAGUCUGAUAGUAUUGCCCUGAGUUGACCUUGGAGUCGGGUUGUUUGUGAAUGCAGCCCAAAGCGGGUGGUAGACUCCAUCCAAGGCUAAAUACUGACACGAGUCCGAUAGCGAACAAGUACCGUGAGGGAAAGUUGAAAAGUACUUUGAAGAGAGAGUAAACAGUGCGUGAAACCGCUCAGAGGUAAACGGGUGGAGUUGAACUGCAAUCCAUGGGGAUUCAGCUGAUGAGUAUGAUGUGGGCUUGAACAUAUUGACCGCCUUUUGGGGACCGCGUGCUAGCGGGUUUCUGCUCUUUGAGUGGGAAUGUGCGAAGCGCUUAUCAAGUGCUGUGCGCCCUGGAAGUUACGGGUCUGCUCGUCAGUGCACUUUCUCAUGGUGUUCACCACGACCGGCGCUGCUGUCUGUCUGCUGUGGUCAAACCGGUUUGGCUUGGUCCUUUGGAUAAUGGGCCUGAUCGGGAUGGCAGGUAGCUUGUGGAUUCCUUUUGGGGUCUCGAGUGUUACAGCUGGCUAUAGUAGAUCUGUGCAGUGUGUCGGGGCUGGCGGCUUUGGUGUGUGCAUGCGUGCUAUGGUCUUCUGGCGGGGUUGAGUCUGGUUGGCUUGUUUACCCGCUUCGGUGGGUCGCUGAUGGCUUGAUCUCGUUUGGUUGGCAGUGGCGUGUGUGACACUUGCUUGGGCCUAUAGUCUGUGGUGUAGUGGUAAACGAUCCACCUGACCCGUCUUGAAACACGGACCAAGGAGUUUAACAUGUACGCGAGUCAUUGGGCGUUACGAAACCCAAAGGCGUAGUGAAGGUAAAGGUUCGGCCUGCCCGAGCUGAGGUGAGAUCCUGUUGUUUCUUAUGCCUUGAACUAUUAAGCAAUCGAGCAGCAGGCGCAUCACCGGCCCGUCCCAUGACGUAGUCAUGCAUCACCUGGUGUGUGCACCGUCGGGGCGGAGCAAGAGCGUACACGUUGAGACCCGAAAGAUGGUGAACUAUGCUUGCGGAGGCUGAAGCCAGAGGAAACUCUGGUGGAGGGCCGCAGCGAUUCUGACGUGCAAAUCGAUCGUCUAACGUGAGUAUAGGGGC